UGAGGAAUAUUGGUCAAUGGACGGAAGUCUGAACCAGCCAAGUAGCGUGCAGGAUGACGGCCCUAUGGGUUGUAAACUGCUUUUAUACGGGGAUAAAGUUAGGGACGUGUCCCUAUUUGCAGGUACCGUAUGAAUAAGGACCGGCUAAUUCCGUGCCAGCAGCCGCGGUAAUACGGAAGGUCCGGGCGUUAUCCGGAUUUAUUGGGUUUAAAGGGAGCGUAGGCCGCGUUUUAAGCGUGUUGUGAAAUGUAGACGCCCAACGUCUGCAUCGCAGCGCGAACUGGGACGCUUGAGUACGCGCAACGUUGGCGGAAUUCGUCGUGUAGCGGUGAAAUGCUUAGAUAUGACGAGGAACUCCGAUUGCGAAGGCAGCUGACGGGAGCGGCACUGACGCUUAAGCUCGAAGGUGCGGGUAUCAAACAGG
rnacentral:rRNA from 1 species